rnacentral:lncRNA from 1 species
CUGUGUUUAAAAUAAACCUGAACUAGGUAGGCAUAGAUUCUCCAUGAAAUGUCGGGGGAAAGCCCCCCUCUGAUUAUUUUGGCAUUUGUAGCUUAUAGAGUCAAAAUCUCCCAUAUUUAAAACCUUGUGUUGUGUGUUCAGUCGCUCAGCCAUGUCUGACUCUUUGUGACCCCACGGAAUGUUGCCUGCUGGGCUCCGCUGUCCGUCGCAAGAACACUGGAGUGGGUUGUCAUUUCCUUCUCCAAACCCAGGGAUCGAACUCGUGUCUCCUGCACAGGAUCUCCCUGACCCAGGGAUCGAACCCAUGAUUCUGAUGUCUCCUGCACUAGCAGGUGGGUUCUUUAUCACUUGCACCACCUGGGAAGCAC